GCAGAGACAAGAAGCAGACUAAAGUUUGAGGGUGCAGCCAUCUUUCAAUUCCCUUGAGUUCUCAAAACAAAAUAAGGAGAGGGGAACCAGAUGUAAGCUCUGGUAACUCAAUGGAUUGGGCUUAUAAAAAUGGAAUACCCUAUUCAUUUGCUUUUGAACUUCGAGACACUGGGUAUUUUGGAUUUUUACUGCCAGAGAUGCUCAUUAAACCCACCUGCACAGAGACCAUGCUUGCUGUGAAGAAUAUCACAAUGCACCUGCUAAAGAACUGUCCUUGAGAGGAGCUUGCAUCUAGCCUACCAAUCCAGAGAAAGCAAAUCCUGACCACAAGCUCCCUGGCAAAUGUAACUGCUGAGACUGGAAGGAUCCAUGGACCGUAAAGAAUCUUUCAUGCAAUUCAACACUUUGCAACAACAGCAAAGUAGGGCACAGCCUACUUUGGUAUGAGAAGAAAAAUCACUUUAUAUCCCUUUAGAGUCUUAUUUGAUUACAAGGGGGAGGGAAUGUUUUCAAAUUCCUUUGUCUCAAAAAGUGUACAAACUAAUUGAGGAUUUCCCUCCUCUCAACUGCUAUGUCCUCGAUUAAGACCUACACGACCAACAACAUUUAAUUACUUGGUUCUUAUUUGAAGUGGAAACAAUCAACUGUAUUUCUUAAUAAAUAUAUAAUUUUUCAAAGACU
rnacentral:lncRNA from 1 species